CAUGCAAGUCGAACGGAAAGUGCCCAGCUUGCUGGGUGACUCGAGUGGCGAACGGGUGAGUAACACGUGGGUGAUCUGCCCUGCACUUUGGGAUAAGCCUGGGAAACUGGGUCUAAUACCGAAUAUAUCCUGCUGGUCGCAUGGCCUGGUGGGGGAAAGCUUUUGCGGUGUGGGAUGGGCCCGCGGCCUAUCAGCUUGUUGGUGGGGUGAUGGCCUACCAAGGCGACGACGGGUAGCCGGCCUGAGAGGGUGUCCGGCCACACUGGGACUGAGAUACGGCCCAGACUCCUACGGGAGGCAGCAGUGGGGAAUAUUGCACAAUGGGCGCAAGCCUGAUGCAGCGACGCCGCGUGAGGGAUGACGGCCUUCGGGUUGUAAACCUCUUUCAAUAGGGACGAAGCGUAAGUGACGGUACCUAUAGAAGAAGGACCGGCCAACUACGUGCCAGCAGCCGCGGUAAUACGUAGGGUCCGAGCGUUGUCCGGAAUUACUGGGCGUAAAGAGCUCGUAGGUGGUUUGUCGCGUUGUUCGUGAAAACUCACA
rnacentral:rRNA from 1 species